GUCUACAACCACCCCACCCUAAAUAUACCAGAUGUCAUCUAAUUUUGGAAGCUCAGCAGGGUUGGGCCAGACCUCGUAGGUA
rnacentral:rRNA from 1 species